CCUACGGGUGGCAGCAGUGAGGAAUAUUGGUCAAUGGGCGCGAGCCUGAACCAGCCAAGUCGCGUGAGGGAAGACGGUCCUAUGGAUUGUAAACCUCUUUUGUCGGGGAGCAAAAGACGCCACGCGUGUCGUUCCGAGAGUACCCGAAGAAAAAGCAUCGGCUGACUCCGUGCCAGCAGCCGCGGUAAUACGGAGGAUGCGAGCGUUAUCCGGAUUUAUUGGGUUAAAGGGGUGCGCAGGCGGAAGAUCAAGUCAGCGGGAAAAUUGAGAGGCUCAACCUCUUCGAGCCGUUGAAACUGGUUUUCUUGAGUGAGCGAGAAGUAUGCGGAAUGCGUGGUGUAGCGGUGAAAUGCAUAGAUAUCACGCAGAACUCCGAUGGCGAAGGCAGCAGACCGGCGCUCAACUGACGCUCAUGCACGAAAGUGUGGGUAUCGAACAGGAUUAGAUACCCGAGUAGUC
rnacentral:rRNA from 1 species